rnacentral:rRNA from 1 species
GAUUAAGUUAUUAAGGGCGCACGGUGGAUGCCUUGGCACUAGAAGCCGAUGAAGGACGUUACUAACGACGAUAUGCUUUGGGGAGCUGUAAGUAAGCUUUGAUCCAGAGAUUUCCGAAUGGGGAAACCCAGCAUGAGUUAUGUCAUGUUAUCGAUAUGUGAAUACAUAGCAUAUCAGAAGGCACACCCGGAGAACUGAAACAUCUUAGUACCCGGAGGAAGAGAAAGAAAAUUCGAUUCCCUUAGUAGCGGCGAGCGAAACGGGAAGAGCCCAAACCAACAAGCUUGCUUGUUGGGGUUGUAGGACACUCUAUACGGAGUUACAAAGGACGACAUUAGACGAAUCAUCUGGAAAGAUGAAUCAAAGAAGGUAAUAAUCCUGUAGUCGAAAAUGUUGUCUCUCUUGAGUGGAUCCUGAGNACGANGGAACACGUNAAAUUCCGUCCGAAUCUGGGAGGACCAUCUCCUAAGGCUAAAUACUCUCUAGUGACCGAUAGUGAACCAGUACCGUGAGGGAAAGGUGAAAAGCACCCCGGAAGGGGAGUGAAAUAGAACCUGAAACCGUGUGCUUACAAGUAGUCAGAGCCCGUUAAUGGGUGAUGGCGUGCCUUUUGUAGAAUGAACCGGCGAGUUACGAUUUGAUGCAAGGUUAAGCAGUAAAUGUGGAGCCGUAGCGAAAGCGAGUCUGAAUAGGGCGUUUAGUAUUUGGUCGUAGACCCGAAACCAGGUGAUCUACCCUUGGUCAGGUUGAAGUUCAGGUAACACUGAAUGGAGGACCGAACCGACUUACGUUGAAAAGUGAGCGGAUGAACUGAGGGUAGCGGAGAAAUUCNAAUCGAANCNNNNANUAGCUGGUUCUCUCCGAAAUAGCUUUAGGGCUAGCCUCAAGUGAUGAUUAUUGGAGGUAGAGCACUGUUUGGACGAGGGGCCCCUCUCGGGUUACCGAAUUCAGACAAACUCCGAAUGCCAAUUAAUUUAACUUGGGAGUCAGAACAUGGGUGAUAAGGUCCGUGUUCGAAAGGGAAACAGCCCAGACCACCAGCUAAGGUCCCAAAAUAUAUGUUAAGUGGAAAAGGAUGUGGCGUUGCCCAGACAACUAGGAUGUUGGCUUAGAAGCAGCCAUCAUUUAAAGAGUGCGUAAUAGCUCACUAGUCGAGUGACACUGCGCCGAAAAUGUACCGGGGCUAAACAUAUUACCGAAGCUGUGGAUUGUCCUUUGGACAAUGGUAGGAGAGCGUUCUAAGGGCGUUGAAGCAUGAUCGUAAGGACAUGUGGAGCGCUUAGAAGUGAGAAUGCCGGUGUGAGUAGCGAAAGACGGGUGAGAAUCCCGUCCACCGAUUGACUAAGGUUUCCAGAGGAAGGCUCGUCCGCUCUGGGUUAGUCGGGUCCUAAGCUGAGGCCGACAGGCGUAGGCGAUGGAUAACAGGUUGAUAUUCCUGUACCACCUAUAAUCGUUUUAAUCGAUGGGGGGACGCAGUAGGAUAGGCGAAGCGUGCGAUUGGAUUGCACGUCUAAGCAGUAAGGCUGAGUAUUAGGCAAAUCCGGUACUCGUUAAGGCUGAGCUGUGAUGGGGAGAAGACAUUGAGUCUUCGAGUCGUUGAUUUCACACUGCCGAGAAAAGCCUCUAGAUAGAAAAUAGGUGCCCGUACCGCAAACCGACACAGGUAGUCAAGAUGAGAAUUCUAAGGUGAGCGAGCGAACUCUCGUUAAGGAACUCGGCANAAUGACCCCGUAACUNNGGAGAAGGGGUGCUCUUUAGGGUUAACGCCCAGAAGAGCCGCAGUGAAUAGGCCCAAGCGACUGUUUAUCAAAAACACAGGUCUCUGCUAAACCGUAAGGUGAUGUAUAGGGGCUGACGCCUGCCCGGUGCUGGAAGGUUAAGAGGAGUGGUUAGCUUCUGCGAAGCUACGAAUCGAAGCCCCAGUAAACGGCGGCCGUAACUAUAACGGUCCUAAGGUAGCGAAAUUCCUUGUCGGGUAAGUUCCGACCCGCACGAAAGGCGUAACGAUUUGGGCACUGUCUCAACGAGAGACUCGGUGAAAUCAUAGUACCUGUGAAGAUGCAGGUUACCCGCGACAGGACGGAAAGACCCCGUGGAGCUUUACUGUAGCCUGAUAUUGAAAUUCGGCACAGCUUGUACAGGAUAGGUAGGAGCCUUUGAAACGUGAGCGCUAGCUUACGUGGAGGCGCUGGUGGGAUACUACCCUAGCUGUGUUGGCUUUCUAACCCGCACCACUUAUCGUGGUGGGAGACAGUGUCAGGCGGGCAGUUUGACUGGGGCGGUCGCCUCCUAAAAGGUAACGGAGGCGCUCAAAGGUUCCCUCAGAAUGGUUGGAAAUCAUUCAUAGAGUGUAAAGGCAUAAGGGAGCUUGACUGCGAGACCUACAAGUCGAGCAGGGUCGAAAGACGGACUUAGUGAUCCGGUGGUUCCGCAUGGAAGGGCCAUCGCUCAACGGAUAAAAGCUACCCCGGGGAUAACAGGCUUAUCUCCCCCAAGAGUUCACAUCGACGGGGAGGUUUGGCACCUCGAUGUCGGCUCAUCGCAUCCUGGGGCUGUAGUCGGUCCCAAGGGUUGGGCUGUUCGCCCAUUAAAGCGGUACGCGAGCUGGGUUCAGAACGUCGUGAGACAGUUCGGUCCCUAUCCGUCGUGGGCGUAGGAAAUUUGAGAGGAGCUGUCCUUAGUACGAGAGGACCGGGAUGGACAUACCUCUGGUGUACCAGUUGUCGUGCCAACGGCAUAGCUGGGUAGCUAUGUGUGGACGGGAUAAGUGCUGAAAGCAUCUAAGCAUGAAGCCCCCCUCAAGAUGAGAUUUCCCAACUUCGGUUAUAAGAUCCCUCAAAGAUGAUGAGGUUAAUAGGUUCGAGGUGGAAGCAUGGUGACAUGUGGAGCUGACGAAUACUAAUCGAUCGAAGACUUAAUCAA